GACGAACGCUGGCGGCGUGCUUAACACAUGCAAGUCGAACGGAAAGGCCCUGCUUGCCGGGUACUCGAGUGGCGAACGGGUGAGUAACACGUGGGUGCUCUGCCCUGCACUUCGGGAUAAGCCUGGGAAACUGGGUCUAAUACCGGAUAGGAGCCAUUUUUAGUGUGAUGGUUGGAAAGUUUUUUCGGUGUAGGAUGAGCUCGCGGCCUAUCAGCUUGUUGGUGGGGUAAUGGCCUACCAAGGCGGCGACGGGUAGCCGGCCUGAGAGGGUGGACGGCCACAUUGGGACUGAGAUACGGCCCAGACUCCUACGGGAGGCAGCAGUGGGGAAUAUUGCACAAUGGGCGCAAGCCUGAUGCAGCGACGCCGCGUGGGGGAUGACGGCCUUCGGGUUGUAAACUCCUUUCGCUAGGGACGAAGCUUUUUGUGACGGUACCUAGAGAAGAAGCACCGGCUAACUACGUG
rnacentral:rRNA from 1 species